AGAUCUCACUCAAAUGCAAGGAGAAAGCAACAAUGGCGGUGGCGGCCUUGGAAAUUAUGACGGCUCAAAGAUGAACAGGAACAAAGGGGGAGGGACAAAAUAGAUCUGCUAAAAAGAACGUAACCCUAAUAAUAAGUGGGGCCCCCUGUUAUAUCUCCAUCACCUCCGGAUUCCAAGCAUCAAUUAAGCAAUGGUCAGAUAUAAACCAGAUUUAUCGCCAUAAAUAUCCAACGGCUACUCAAAUCAAGAGGUUUGACCACUUCAUCAACCACGGAAAAUCGCCUAAGUGCUCGGGGGCUGCGGAUACCGUACCUGCUGGACAAAGUUUUCUUUUUUCUGAAGACUAAUAAAGCCAGAACAACCAGAACACGGGAUUGACCCUCAGCCUGAUUCUUCGAUUCAAACUAAGGCUCGGGGGCUACUCCAUAUGGAGUGCGAUUGUCAUCG
rnacentral:lncRNA from 1 species